rnacentral:tRNA from 1 species
AAAGCCUUAGGUUAAAAUCAAACCUUCAACCUUCAAAGUUGAUAAUAGAAAAAUUCAUUCUAGGCUUUA